CAUUAUUCAAGCCUACAAAAACUGGUACUUAGGUUUAGUCCAAGAACACAAAACAACUUUGACUUCAAAUGAAUAAUAAUAACGAGGAGGAACUUAAGCUUCUAAUAUACAUAUGACCAAGAACAUAGCAUGAUAUGGAUAACUAACUUCGGAUGUUAUCAAUAUGAAAAUGGAAAAGACUGGUUAAUUUCAAAAUUGCGUAAGAAAUCAUAGACCAUGUGAAACCUGAAUUGGAAAAUCGUUUCAACGGAAUCUUUAAAGGUUUACAAGUUGAAACAUAGAACUUAGUAUCCUAAUCCACCCCUUUGUCUGAACUAAACCAAUAUAGAAGAAGAUGCCUCUGGUACAAAAAAAAGACAAGAAAUUCGAUCUACUAGUACUAACUAGCAUCAAGGUGUUCAAUUCUCUAACUUUCACAAAAUAAAAGAGCGGACUAGUAGAAAUAUCCACCAAUUUGGCUAAUGCUUAACAAGGAAGACUUUGGAAAUGAUUCUACCGAAAUUUAAAUCAACUUGCAGCAGGAUGGAUGAAGAAGCAAAGACGCACAAGAAGAACUGGACAACUCGUCAUUUCCCACACCAAUCACGGCCAAUCACAGCAGGAUGGGUGAAAACGACUCUAUUACUCCAACUGAUAAGCAGAUCGAACCAAUCACGGCGAAUCUUAGACACCAUUACAAGCACGGAGACAGAGAAGCUUAGUAAAAAAGCCUAGAAUUGACGAAGAAACAAAAUCUAGAUAGGGCAUCUGAGCUGGUAAUAAAAUAAAUAUCAACCAAGACGUCCGGAAGAAACAGAGAUCACCGAUUUUUUGCAAUUAGAGAAAUAAGAAGGAAAAAAGAACGAGGAAGAGAGAAGUGAGAUAGAUCAGAUUGUUACAGUUACGAUAGUGGCGGCGGCGGGCGCGAUGAUGGAGGAACGCCUUCCAAAUGAGCAAAGCGAAGAGGAAGAAUCGGAGUAGAGGGGUGAGGUUUCUAAGAAUCGAGAGGGAGAUGACAGGUGGUGGAGGGAAAAAGGCUGCCGGCGGAGAGUGACGGAGGGGGAAGAAGGAGGGAGGGCGUAGGAUAAGGCGUGAUUAGCGAAGAAUUUGAGACGAAAGACGGUGAUUUUGAUUUCUGUUUCUUCUUUU
rnacentral:lncRNA from 1 species